AUGUUGAGUAUCAUAACAAGUAACUUACAGGGGUAUUUGGUGGUAAAAAUAUCAAGCAAAAGGAAGGUGUAGAUGAGUGAAAUGGUGGCUGAAACACAAAAGGGACAGCAGCCCUUUAGUUCAUGAUUUUGAUGGCUUUGGAAGGAAGUUCUUGUGGCUGAAAAUGAGAUGAAGAUUGAGAGUAAUUCCCUGGAGUAUUGGCUGGUGAAUUUAGGGUAAAAUGAUGAGAAAAUUGCGUGAUUAUGAAGGAGGAAAGGGUGGAAGAGGAUAACGGGACAAAACCAAGACUAGCUUGUGAUGGGAUGUGAGUUUAAGUGAUGUGAUCUUGUCUAGCCACUUGCUUGGGUGGUUGCUUAGAGAUAGAGUUAGUUAACUAACUAACUACUAGUUAUUUAGUUAGUUAGGAGUUCUAGUAAAGGAGAGGGAAGGUCUUAAUCUCGAAAAUUAGAAGAGUGAUUAAUAAGCAUUCUUAGUAAAAUGUCUUAAGUGAUUAAGCACUUAUUAGUUAAGUUGGCACAUAUCUCCACCAAUUCUCUUAUCUUAAUUGAUUUAGAAAUCAUAUUCCUUACAUGAAAUCACUUAAAUCAUGACCCAUAACUAGUCAUUCACUCGAUAAUAAUACAUAUGUACAAAUACAUACUUGUAUACUUAGUAUAAAAUAACAAUGUAGUUUUUGUGUAUUUGAACUUUAAUGUUUAUGUUUUAUUCUUUUUAUUCAAAAACACUUAAAUACAUUCUAAUUAUACCUUAUAAUAGUUCAUUUUAUAUUUUUAUUUAUUUAAAUAUAAAAUUUAUUGACCAAUGUAUAAUUUCGUGACAUUUAACCGGUUAACCAUAUCGUUAAACACGUUUUGUCACUUUGGUUCGUAUAUUUAUCAAAUUUAGAUCCUCCACAUCUAUUAAGCAAACGUUUUACAUAGAACCUAACUUACUUAUCAACUAGAGACAUGUUGAGACAAAAAUUAAGUUUGUUGCGUUUAAAUGAUGUUAUAUGCUAAUUUCACAAACCGGUGAUGGUUCGUAGUCAUACAUCAUAAUGAAAUUUAUCAAUAGUUACUUCUUUUAUAUUUCACAAUAACUUAUUUAAAUAAAAGAGGUUAAAUUCCUUCAACCAUUCUUGAUAAAAUACUCAUAUUGCUUAAAAAUCAAAACAUAGCAUCAUACGAUCGUUCCUAUUUUUACAAAUUGUUACAUUCUCCCCCCGUUAAAAGAAUUUCGCCCUGAAAUUCAACUUGUAGACGGGAUAUCACUAAACAAUCAGGGGUGUUUUUUUAUUUGAUCCUCGCAUUCCUUUGUGAAUUUCGCUCCUCGCUUGGCGUUCCAACGAGCCUUCACUAUGGGCAUGCGACUUUGUUUUAUCCUUAUGACCUCCAGAUCCAUGAUUUCCACCGGUUCUUCGAUGAAGUUUAGACUCCCGUUGAUUUCAAUUUCAUCCAGUGGAAUAAUAAGAGUCUCAUCAGACAAGCUCUUCUUCUGAUCCUGGGAUGCCUUCAAUCGUUCACGGGUUUGAACAAUCUUCUCUGUAGUUUCUCGUAUGAUCUGGGGGCUGGUGAGAGUGUUUUUAGGAACUUGCCCGUUAGCUAUUUGCGUGCCACCUACCUCAACCCAUCAAAGAGGUGAUCUACACUUGCUUUUGCAGAGAGCUUCGAAUGACGCGACUUUGAUGUUAAUGUAAUAGUUGAUGUUGUAUAAGGAUUCAAUGAAUGGUUCUUCCGCUUUGUCUUUCAGUUUGAGGGUGAUAAAAAGGACUUCUUUAACGACUAUUGAAAACACGAGGCGAAUCGCUUGUCACUUAUCUAAAAUGAUAGAUAGUGGUAUACUAUGCAGUCUCGCAAUUUUCUUGUGAUAUGCUUCUGUCAGCUUUUCUAUUUUUCUUUGUAUCCUUGGUCGGUAGAAAGUGGGUGGGUUUGGUUGAUUUGUCUACGAUUGCUCAAGUGGUAGCAUGUCCAUCCACUGUCCUGGGUAACUUGUCAUGGAGUUCAUGGUAUGACUCAUAACUGAUUCAUCUAUCAUCUCUUUGUGUUUAUAAGUCGUAUAUAAUUAAGAUUGAAAAGACAGUCGAAUCGGUGAUUCAAUUCUAAGCCCACAUCCGAACAAGGAAAAUGAUUUAAAACGGAAUUACCAACCCUAAGUCCGUAGAAUCUUAAUUAUAUAGGGCUCCAAUAUAAACACUUAGUAAUCAUAGAUUCACUAGUAUGGGUCCAUAGUCUCUACUUGAGUGGGGUGAUUAACUUGGGUGAGAUGGCAUUUACAACAACCCUUUUCCACAACUACUGCACUUAGGUUGAUUUUUGAACUCGGGUUGCCGUACGGAUGGUAUUCCCAGGAGAUCUUCUGGGAAUAUAUCGAGAAGGUUACAGGCUUUUUCAACAUCCAUGAUGUCUUUCUCUUAUUGUUUCUUAUCCACAACACGGGCUAGGACGGCGUGGUAUCUCCUGUGUAGGUACUUCUGAGUCUCGUUGUACAAGGUGAGUCGGGGGUUUGUGUCCAGUUUGUCGCCAUAGACAACAAGAGUUCAAUUACUCGAUGGGUUUAGGCGAAUGGCAUUUUCGUAAUAUAUAAUAUCGAUAUGGUGAGGAAACUAACUAAUACGUUGUUAAAAUGAAAAUGUCAUAAAUUUUUAUUGUGACCGGUUUUAGGAUGAUUUGAACGAAUUGGUUGAUUUAGUGUUAAAGUGCACCCUAUGUACACGUCUCUAGUGCUUGCGAAUAUUCCAAUUCUACUGUAAAUAUUUUGUUUAAGUUUUUGAGGUUUUUGGUUGAGAAAUUGAUUAAAUCUACGACUCAUAAUACUCCUGUCCGCGUUGCUAUUAUAUAGUAUCCAUGCAUAUGUGCUAUCGGGAAUGAACGUACUGGAAUCUCAGCGGGGUCUAUUAUUGCUUUCCCACGCUCUGUUGCUAAAACACUUCCGACGCUCCUGACAUCUUUGUUUUUAGUCUCCGGGAACUCCUUUAUGAAAUUCCCUACUUCUCCACAUCUGUAGCAAGUCCGACUCAUCCCAGCUUUUGUGUUCUGGGCGGUCUGUUGAGCCGGCACCCUACAGAAAUUUGUGGUAUGCCCCUUUUCAUUACAGUUCUUGCAGUGCAUUUCCCUGCACUUUCCUUUGUGAUGAAAGCUACACUCGGUGCAUUUUGGCAGGUUUCCAACAUAUGGUCUUGUCGGCACUGAGGUAGUAGGGAUGGUGGUGGUAUGGAAUGUCACUGUUUGUUGUCUUUUGGUAGGUCCUUGAUUUGGGGCGUCGUUGCAGGAACAUACUCGGGGUGUCCCUGGUUGUUAUUACGAUUGGAACUUUCGGCGCCGUUCCCGCUUUUGUUUGUGUUGUUAGCGCCGAGGUGUGCCAUGACUGCUGUCACGACGGCUGUUACCGCAAUUUGAAAUGUUGUAGGGUCUAUUUAUAGAACUAGUGUUGCACCAGUAUGCUGAUUACCUUCAUGUGUCGGCAUGAUUCUAUUUCGCGAGUGGCCUCCUCUGUUCUCAGUUCUGUGAUGACUGUCCAGGUUGUAGCUGUAAGGGUUCUUUGUCCUAUAACGACUAUCUCCUUUUCUAAGGAGUGUAGGUGAUCCGUAUUGUUCUCUUGAUCUGCUUGCCGGUCUAUGGGUGCUAUGGCCCGAAGUACGGUGCAGUGAGUUUAUGUCGGUUGUGGAUCAUCGGUUGUCCUCUCCAGUCUAUAUGUGUGGCUAGGUAGUUAAUUGCGGGUUGCUUCCUGAAAUGAGAGGUGGAGGUUCUCACACUCCUCUUGAUAGGGUAAGGUUUAUUGAUGGUAUCUCCCGAACUUCUUUCUCCAUCUGGUCCCUUCUCGGAAAUCUUCUUCCUCGUAUUUCAUCUAUUGGUACUCUUCGAAAUCUUCUUCUGGAUCCUUCUCGAUCCAUCUGUUGGCUUCGGUGGCAGGAUAGUAGGGGUCUAUGUGGAGAUGAAGUCUAGCUGAUAUGCCUAUGCGAGAAUAGGGGUAAGAAGCAUAUGAAGAAUCUAAGUGUGUGGUUCUAUUGUAACGCAAAAUACUCCUAUAGUAUUUUAAAUUUGUAUGUUAAAGUUUUCUUUGUAUGGUUUGUUGGUAAGUUUUAGACUCGUCAUCCACUACGACCAUUCCUCGGCAUACGUUGGUCACCUCUUGGAUAAAUAUAGUUGAUCAGGCUAUAUUCAUCCCAGACAUGAUUACAUACCCCGAGGCUUACUCGCAGUGUUUAACUUAUCUUAAUACUUUUUGUUUUGUUGCCAAUAUGACUCCUUACUAGUAUGUUUGUAUGCACUUACAUUUUUCGUGAAAUCUUGGUCCAUUCCUGGUCCUUCUAUCCUUGCCUUGUGUAUAUAGGUCAUAUACAGUUAAGAUUAAACAGUCAGUCGAAUAAGUGAUCUUACCUUAUAUCCACAUCCAAACAAGGAAAAGGAAGUAAAGUGAAAAUCACAAAUUCUAAGUCUAUAAAACUUUUAGUAUAUACCACCUUAACGUAUACACUUAGCAAACAUAGACCUAACAGCAAAGGACCCCUAAUGUUCCUGUUUUGAAAUUGUUAAUUCAGAGAGUUUUAGUCCCUAUGUAUUUAUAGUUUGUAUAUCUUAUGUGGUUUGAUAUACUUAGCUCACUAUAAACAAUGCUCUGAUACCAAUCUAUCACACCCCCAAACCAGGAUGGCGGAAACGUCCAGGGGCGGGUGACUAUCAUGUAGUGUAUCAUAACAGUUGAGUAUAAAUGUUCAAAGCAAACACAACCAACAUAUAUAUAAUUGAAAAAGUUACAUCAUUUGUACGUAUUACAUGUUUCAAAAUAUCAAUUACAAUAUGUUGUCAAAAGAUUUGUUUAGACGCCUAAGCGUCCCAUCCUCAAAGCCAGUUGUUACCUGAUUUACUGAUUUCCUGAGAAUACAAGUUAUUUGAAAAGAGAGUAUCGACAUUUAAGUUGGUGAGUUCAUAAGCAUUUGUAUGUAUAUUUGUAAACCGUUUCUAUGAAAUGUAGUAAUGUUUUUUUUUUCCGAAAAAUCCUAUAUUUUCCCUAAAAUGAGAUGUGGCCUUAAAUGAUCCAAGACCGAAACGUAUAAGUAGUUUUCCUACUUAAAAUGAUGUUAUGCAAUUUUGUUUGUAUAUAAAACUGUUUGAAGACUGUCUUUGCGUAAACUAAAAGUGUCAUUGUUGUUUUACGUGAGUUUUAAUUUUUAUCUUAUAACCAUGCUUGAUUGACCCAGACUACCUAGUUCGCAACGUUCUUCAAGUGUCAAUUUCGUUAUGACAUUUGUCACCCCUAGACCUGCCGGUCCAGCUGUUGCAAGCAGCUAAGGUGCGGGAUUGUCGGUCCCAAUAUAGAUCUAUACACAACUAUCACGGUCUCCCUACAAGAGACUCUGGUUAUAUUUAACAGGACUUUCGUGUGUACUUUAUAAGGUACCGUGAAGACAAAACUCACUAAAUUUGUUCAACGAGUUUACAUGUUUUUGUGUUGAAAAUGUUUGUAUAAAUGAUCAUCCCCUAAGACUGGGAUAGCUAUGAAAAACGACGUGAAAUCUUUAGAUAUGCAUUUGACAAUAUUUUACCAUUUGCUCAACAGGAUACAAAUGGAGUAGAGUUUCGUAAACUAUAUAUGUAUAUUUUUGAUGUAGAAGACAAGUUUGUAAACAAAACAUAUAUAUGCAUAUGGUUAUAUAUAUGUAUAAAUUUUAAAAGAUGAUUUGGUAUGUUUCGUAAUUGUUGUUCAUAUUCUUACGUUUUUAUUAGAAACUUUGCAUGAAAUAAUCCUUAAGUUUGAUACUAAAGACCUUUUUGUACUUAUCACUUUUGUAAAAAUGGUAAUUAAACAUAUUUAAAUGAUUGUGUUUUAACUUCCUUAAUGUAUAAACAUUGCUCAAAAAUGUUAGAAGGUGUUAAUAAAUGUAUAAACCACUUUUGACAGUUUUGCCCUUUACUGUCCCUGUUUUUAGAAAACUCAUAGAAAAAUCCUCGUAAGUCAAAAACUGAAUCCGUCACCUCUGAGAGUUUAAAAAAUGAGUCUACUUUGUUACUAAUUUUUAUUAUGAUUUUUAGUGGUCUCAAACUAGUGUGAAAAUGAGCAUAUUCACAGACUGGUCCGAAAUCACUUCUGAAAUGACAAGCAGUUUUAUAAACAUCGCUAUAAAUUGUAGAAAAAUCAUAUGAACGUGUGAGAGUAGUCCUUAGAAAGGGAUAAACUUGAACUAUUUGUAUAUUGUACAGUUUUGAAAGAUAUUAAGUUUAAGAGGGUCAAAACAGUCCGUGAACAGGACUCAACUUUUCUGUAGAAAGCUGUCAUUUAAAUUUAAGUUAUGUUUAGUGUUCUAACUUGUAUUCCCCCCCUUAAAACUUGAAUAAAACAUGAAAAUGUAGGGGUAUGAACUCACCUUAUGUGAAUACUUGAAGAAUGGAAGGUUGAAGAUGAACUUUUGGUUGUUGGUUUGAUGCUCCAAAACAGCCACUCUUUUGGCUAUGUUGCUGUCACGAAAAUUUCACAGCAAAAGUGCAAGAAAAAGGGUAGUUUACUCACUGUUUUGAAUCAAUAAUUUUGAGUAUCAAAACAAGUAACUUCCAGGGGUAUUUGGUGGUAAAAAUAUCAAGCAAAAGGAAGGUGUAGAUGGGUGAAAUGGUGGCUGAAACACAAAAGGGACAGCAGCCCUUUAGUUCAUGGUUUUGAUGGCUUUGGAAGGAAGUUCUUGUGGCUGAAAAUGAGAUGAAGGUUGAGAGUAAUUCCCUGGAGUAUUGGCUGGUGAAUUUAGGGUAAAAUGAUGAGGAAAUUUCGUGAUUAUGAAGGAGGAAAGGGUGGAAGAGAAUAAGGGGACAAAAGCUAGACUAGCUUGUGAUGGAAUGUGAGUUUAAGUGAUGUGAUCUUGUCUAGCCACUUGCUUGGGUGGUUGCUUAGAGAUAGAGUUAGUUAACUAACUAACUACUAGUUAUUUAGUUUGUUAGGAGUUCUCUUAAAGGAGAGGAAAGGUCUUAAUCUCGAAAAUUAGAAGAGGGAUUAAUAAGCAUUCUUAGUAAAAUGUCUUAAGUGAUUAAGCACUUAUUAGUUAAGUUGGCACUUAUCUCCACCAAUUCUCUUAUCUUAAUUGAUUUAGACAUCAUAAAACUUACAUGAAAU
rnacentral:lncRNA from 1 species